UAGAGUUUGAUCAUGGCUCAGAGUGAACGCUGGCGGCGUGCUUAACACAUGCAAGUCGAACGAGAACGGAAUAUAGCUUGCUAUAUUUGUCAGCUAAGUGGCGCACGGGUGAGUAAUGUAUAGAUAACCUGCCCUUAAGAAAGGAAUAACGGUUGGAAACGACUGCUAAUGCCCUAUAUGCCUUUAAUACAUAAGUAUGCAAGGGAAACGCUUUAGUGCUUAAGGAUGGGUCUGUAUGGUAUCAGCUUGUUGGUGAGGUAAUGGCUCACCAAGGCUAUGACGCCUAACUGGUUUGAGAGGAUGAUCAGUCACACUGGAACUGAGACACGGUCCAGACUCCUACNGGACGCAGCA
rnacentral:rRNA from 1 species